UUAGUACUCCCUCCGUUCCAAAAUUCUUGUCUUAGAUUUGUCUAAAUACGGAUGUAUCAAGUCAUAUUUUAGUAUUAGAUACAUCCGUAUCUAGACAAAUCUAAGACAAGAAUUUUGGGACGGAGGGAGUAUGUG
rnacentral:pre_miRNA from 1 species